GUAAUACAUUACACUUGAGGCUUGCUGAUAUUCUGCAACAUAAAAUCUUCACAUUAAACAGGAGUAAAUGGUUAUUAUUUCUUGUAAAGAUAGGUCAAUACAUUACAAUCAACUACACUAGCUUUUUGAAUAUACUACCUCAUGCGAGUAAAUGCUUUGUGGAAUAUUUUAGCUCUAAAACUGUCUGCACCUCUCAUCAAUUUUUCCUUCAAAAAAAAAAAAUCUCCGUGGGCAUUUCACAAUCUCUUAUUGACUGGUGCAGAUGAUCAAAAUGGAGACCUUCCACCACCACCAUGGGAGAUUCAACAAUCCAUGGAUAACCCAUUCCAGGCCGGCCGGGUGGCAUUGCAACCAGGGCAACCUGUAGGGAUACAACCCCGAUCAACCCAAGCUGGUCAGUUUCAGUUUGGGCAAGAUUUUAUGCCAUCACAACAAAUGGCAAAUGGGCAACUAGGAGGAAUGCAGCUGCAACAACCACAGACCAUGCCGAAUCUUCAGUAUGGAGGGAUGCAUCCUUCGAUGCAAGCCAAUCAAGGAGGAAGCAUGUACUCCCAACCAAUGUUUGGAGGGCAGUUCUAUGGAACCCAUCAGCAGCUGUAUGCUGUUCAAAUGGCUGGCUAUGGAUAUGGCCAGCAACCUGGAGCUUACUACAUUCCAAAUGCAGCGUAUGCGUAUGUUAGUGCAAAUGAGCUUACCCAGAGAAUGAAUGGGCUUUCAGUUCAAGAAGGCAAUCCACAUGGAGCUGCAAUGGCAUCCAGACCUGAAGAUUCACUCUUUGGUGAUCUUGUUAGCAUUGCCAAAAUGAAACAGAACAAACCUGCAGCUGGCAAGGUUGGUGGCUCAUAAGGAUGGGUGACUAGACACAUGGUUUCACCUCUUUUGCAGCAGAAAAGGCUUUUCCUGACAGUACAUAAUUCUUUUCUGUUCUUAAAGACUCAUAAUACAUAAUCCUUAUUGCCACUUUUUGUGGGUCGCAAGAAGGCAAUACUGUUGGAAAGUAGUUUCUGGCACUUGUUGAUUUUAAGUUCGUUUUUCAGAUAGAAUUGUAGUGAUAUAUAUUGGAAAGUAGAUUGAGCCUUGAGAUGCAUCUAGUGCCUCAUGGCAAGGACGCUUAUAUAUAAAUUUUUAAGUCAUAUCAUAAUCAUAUUGGCAUCAUCAAUAAAUAUUCUUCUGUACAAACAUUUGACAUGUCUUCCCUUGUGCGUGGAACCUAAAAAAUGCUUGCAAUGUUCCCAGGGUCGAAAAGAAUAAUGUAGCUUCUUACAUUUUUUCCCUUUUUUUUCGGGAGAGAAGGACGCGGAGGCGGUGGCGGUGGAGGCAGGCGACGAGGAGAGGGGCAGCGACCACCGGUGGUAGAACCAUGGGGGCAAGAGUGGAGGAGGCCACACCUCUCCACGCCGUCCUUAUCUCCGCCAGCGAGAGGAGGGAGGGAAUACAAGGGAGAUGGGGUUAGAGGACGAAGAAGAUGGGACGGAGAAUGACAUGUGGGACCCACCCAUCAUUUAUUAUUAGGGAUAAUUUCGUUCAUGCCCUUGUUUCAGAUUCUAAUAUUGAUUUUGCCCCUCUUUUUUAGGGUUUUUUUUUUGCUCUUCUUUUUUUUGAACCGAAUGAAAGGGUUGCCCCUGUUUUGGAUGGCUGUUAGGUUGACUAUUAGUUGACCAACAUAUUUAGAUUAAAAAAUAAAAAAUUUAAUUCCUGAAAUAAGUAAUGACCACCUUACCCCUGUUAAGACUAAAGGGGACAAGGAGUGGCAAAAAGCGAAGGGGAGAGAGGGCUGGAUCUGGCCGGCGACCUGUGGGCAGCGGGCUGUGGGCGUCGGCGGGAAGGGAGGCGUGACGGCGGGGUGGGGGUGCGCCCACGGUGGGCCUAGUUGCAGCGGGCGGCGAGGAGGGGGGCACGACGGGGGCCACCAGAAGACAGCCACCGGGCCAGCGCCUCGCCGGUAGAGCCGCACCUCCACCGACUGGCCGUGAGGGCUCGCCAUCGGCUCGAGCAGCGGCGCGGUUAGUGCCUCUGUGGCCGAGACCACCACCUCGUCGCGCAGCGAGGAGGGGCCGGCGCGCCUUGCUGCGGCGGGGCGGCGAGGAGGGGGCAGCGAGGAGGGGGCGCUGGAGCCGCUGCUAGGAGGGCUGCCUCGGCUUCUCGAGCUUCCUCGGCUCGGCGCUGGAGUGGCUGCUGGU
rnacentral:lncRNA from 1 species